GAGGGUAUAGCUCAAGUGAUAGGGUGCAUGCUUAGCAUGCAUGAGGUCUUUGGUUCAAUUCCCAGUAUCUCUU
rnacentral:tRNA from 1 species